rnacentral:rRNA from 1 species
AGGACGAACGCUGGCGGCGUGCUUAACACAUGCAAGUCGAACGGUGAAGCUCCAGCUUGCUGGAGUGGAUCAGUGGCGAACGGGUGAGUAACACGUGAGCAACCUGCCCCAAACUCUGGAAUAAGCACUGGAAACGGUGUCUAAUACUGGAUACGAGACCAACCUGCAUGGGUAUGGUUUGGAAAGUUUUUCGGUUUGGGAUGGGCUCGCGGCCUAUCAGCUUGUUGGUGAGGUAAUGGCUCACCAAGGCGACGACGGGUAGCCGGCCUGAGAGGGCGACCGGCCACACUGGGACUGAGACACGGCCCAGACUCCUACGGGAGGCAGCAGUGGGGAAUAUUGCACAAUGGGCGAAAGCCUGAUGCAGCGACGCCGCGUGAGGGAUGACGGCCUUCGGGUUGUAAACCUCUUUCAGCAGGGAAGAAGCGAAAGUGACGGUACCUGCAGAAGAAGCACCGGCUAACUACGUGCCAGC